GAGCCGGGGAGAGAACCCAGGCGUCCGGGCUCCCCGCCCCACGCUGACCCCCGUCUCCCCCCAGCUGCAGCGCAGGCAGGCGCGGGAGCGGGAGCGGGACGCGCUGCUGCAGGGGCUGGAACUGGCCGAACGCCUGCGGGGCUGGUACCGGCGCCACCUGCUGGAGGCCCAGCGCAGGCAGGAGCAGGCGGGGGCGGAGCCGGAUUAUUUCCCGGAUUCGUGCCCCAAUCAGAGCUGCCUCCUGCUGGCCAAGAUCCAGGAGGUGAAUCUCGGGCUGCGAAACCUACUGGCCAGCCCUGGAAAGGUCAGUGGGGGGUGGGGGGGGCUAGCAGGGGCUGCGGGUCGGGAGUGAGGGGCACCGGCGGGGGGGAGGAAUGGGGAGCUAGGCACUCUCUUGGCGAGUAUGAAAAGGGACUCCACUGAUCUGUUCUUCCCCCCCACCCAGGCUGACCCCCCACCCUGCUUCCCCUCCAGCCGGUUUGGGGGCCCCCUCUUCCAAAUGGGAAAGCAGCAGGAAUUUCAGCAGCAAGCCGUGAACGUGCUGAAGGAGCAGAACCGCCUGCUCAUCAAGGAGGUGUCGGAGAAGAGCGACCGCAUCGCCCAGCUGGAGCAGGAGAAGGCGGCCCUGUGCAGGCAACUCCAGGAGAGCCGGGGCUACCGGCUGUCCAGCCACAAGGAGUCCACCUUCAUCUGAUGGACGAGGUCACUUCCUCCUGCAGACCUACCUGACGAGGUCACUUCCUCCUGCAGACCUACCUGACGAGGUCACUUCCUCUCUCACACCAGCCAGACCCUUCUGAGAGAAAAGACCUAAUUUUCACCCAACACAAUGAUAUCACUUCCUGUCGAUCUCCCAAGGCCAAUGAGGUUAUUUCCUUCUGUCCCACCCCCCCAAUCCACAAUGAAGUCAUUUCCUGCUGGACCUGGAAGGAACUAGCUCACUUCCUCCUCCUGGCCUAUUAUGUAAUUUCCUCCUUCCUGUCAUUGGUCCAUGAUGUCACUCUCCUGAUGGUAUUACAUCAUCUUCAGACUCUGCUGACAUCACUUCCACUUCAGAGCCUUUAGGUGUCACUUCCUCCCGUUCCUCCUGCUCGCCUUUUCUGAUGAUGUCACUGAGGUCUUCACUUCCUGUCCCUUCUUCCUCCAGCCCCUGUGCGGUUUCAUCAUGGUCAAUUCCAACCCCGCCCCACCCUCUGAGGUCACGGCAUUUCUCAUGGACACACGCACACAGCCUGACACAACCACCCCAUGAUGUCACACUCCUGGCUUCCUGUCAUCUGGGAGCCUCCCGAUGACAUCACUUCCCAUUUUGACAGGCUGGUCUCCGAGACUGGGGAGCAGGGGGAAAACAACAGUGAAGAAUUAUGGGUAACAAGAGGGCUAAUAACCGACUGUCCAAAGAGGCUUUCAAUGGGGAAUACCCACAGUGCUUUGCAUCAGCACCAGCAUGACCCUUCACUAUAGAUCUAUGGGAUCCCCACCCCACCCUGCAUCCCCGUCCACUUCCCCUUUGACUCCCCCUCUCCCCCCACACACACCUGUCAACCUUACUUUUACCUGUGUGCAUUUUCAGGGUUCCCUCCCUGACCCCUCUGUGGAGUGUGACACAUUGUCUAUGUCUAAGUGCCCUCUAGUGGCUGGAUUCAGACCUGCACAUGUGUCAUUAGCCCUCUAGAGCUAAAAGCUGAUGGGGAUUCUCCUUCCACCACCUACCUUUACCCACAGCAUCCCUUUGACAACACAUGGCGUGAGCUUUAACCUCCGUGUUAGCCCCCAUCCACCCCCACUUCAGACAAGGGAUGUGGGGGGAAGACGCCUCCAAGAUAUUUAUUCUAAUGGCUGUAAAUAAAUUGAUUAGAAUUAAUAUAAUAAAGUUAUAA
ensembl:lncRNA